UUAAACAGAAUAAGGACUCAAAAUUCCUUAGUCUAGACCAAGGAUUCCCUCUCAUACAAUGGCAGGCAUUUUAUGCUUGUGUUCCCAAGGAUGGCUACCAUUAGAGACAAAAAGAAAUAUGGAAUGACAGUGGCUGGGAACAGGCACCAUUUCCUGGAAAACCAAAUAAUGAAAAUGAGAGGAAAACAGACAAAGACAGAGACAGUCAACAGACCACUCUCGUUCUUCCCUUCUUUUUCUCGUUUCAUUUAAGUUCAUUUAUAUGGGCUUUAAUCAGAAUGGAAAUAACUCAAAAGAGGUAAAUCUCACUAUGCCUUCCAUUCUCUACAUCAGCCUCCCAAACAACAGGACAAAUACUCAGAAGGUCAAUGCCCCUUCACAGACCAUGGUUUCCAUCCAGUGACUCUACUGUUUUAGGAAUACUUCAAGUAGCUAUUCUGCUAAUUAACAAAAGUAAACAAACAGAGCAGAUCCAAGCAUUGUCUUUUUUUCCUCAGAUAUUUCUAUUUUCCAAUCUCCAGCUAUUCUCUUUAUCUUGCUACCAGGACUAUGAAUUUAAUCCUUGUUCUAUCCCUUUAAUUCUUGACUAGCCUAAGAGAGAAUAAAAGAUUUAUUAAUUCUGUCAGGAAGAAGAAGAUGCUCUGACCAUUGCAAGCCCAAGCCAUUAAUUUUUGCAAUUCCUUCCAUCACAUUCAAACUCAGUUUAAAAAAAAAAAAAAAAAAAAAAACUCUUGCCAACCCAAAUUUCUCUAUUACUCACAAGGCUACCUUCGGAAGUGGCGUUCAGGUCUGAUGGAUAUUUAAGGAGCACAAGUGACACAUAUAAAAUCCUUCAGUUGAAAGAGACUUUGUUUGGGUCAGCAGUCUCACAGCUUAGGACAUUGCGAGCAGGACCACAUAAUUCAAGAUGAGCAUAUCUGCACUCUGAGCUUGCUCCCCCAGAACACUCUGAGAAACAUUUCCACUGUCAGGACUACUAUCUGGGCAUAUUUUAUCUUGGGCUUGACUAAAAUGCUGCUGGGGAUUAAACCAGCCAUCAGAUCUCUGUCUAAGAGUUUGGAGGUACUUAGAGCAUAAUUAACAAGUCAUUCUUUCUUUUAGGACUUGAAAAGAAAUCUGGAUAAGUAUGUUUCUUAUCUUCCUGAAGAGCUAGACGUCAGACUCGGGGAAAAAUAUCUGUGUCUUUGUUUCUGCUGAAACAUAACAAUCCAGAGCUGUUGUUAGUUUUAUCUGUCCAAUGCCAUAGAAGUAGUCUAUAAAAAGAGCACCAGCAACUGUAAUAUAAUGUUAAAGAAGUCAAAUGUUCAACUUUUUUGAUUUAUCUGCUACUCAUAUUUAAGCAUGCUCAUUUUCAGAAUGCUAUAGUACAAAUACUCCCUCCCUUGUGACCAA